rnacentral:rRNA from 1 species
AGUGAACGCUGGCGGUAGGCCUAACACAUGCAAGUCGAACGGCAGCACAGUAAGAGCUUGCUCUUACGGGUGGCGAGUGGCGGACGGGUGAGGAAUACAUCGGAAUCUACUUUUUCGUGGGGGAUAACGUAGGGAAACUUACGCUAAUACCGCAUACGACCUACGGGUGAAAGCAGGGGAUCUUCGGACCUUGCGCGAUUGAAUGAGCCGAUGUCGGAUUAGCUAGUUGGCGGGGUAAAGGCCCACCAAGGCGACGAUCCGUAGCUGGUCUGAGAGGAUGAUCGGCCACACUGAAACUGAGACACGGUCCAGACUCCUAGGGGAGGCAGCAGUGGGAAAUAUUGGCAAAUGGCGCAAGCCUGAUCCAGCCAUACCGCGUGGGUGAAGAAGGCCUUCGGGUUGUAAAGCCCUUUUGUUGGGAAAGAAAAGCAGCAGGUUAAUACCCCGCUGUUCUGACGGUACCCAAAGAAUAAGCACCGGCUAACUUCGUG